CGUGGUAAUAGAACGUUUCUAUUUCCAAAAAUAAAACGUGAAAUAUGCAAGUAAACAUAAGUUGUCGAGGGAGUACAAAUAGCAAACAGAAGAGCCAUUGUUUAUAUCGCCCUAAAACGCGGUUGCCCACGUGACAACUGUCAAACUCCGAGAAUGUAAGCAAAUCCCACAAUGCAUUCAACAAAAUGGCAGCCUCCAGUAACAGGUGCUUGUUGUCGGCUUCCAAUUUUCUACACUUUCUUUUGACGUUAAUUGUCGUAUAUUUUAGUUUGGACAGUGUUGGGUCUGUUGCUGAUGAGAUAACAGAUUACCUGCUAUGUCGGAAGUGUGGACAUGAAGUCGUUCGAGCUGCAAACUUGAUCAACAUUCCAAGCAAAGUGGCACUCAGACAAAGAAAUUCUACAUUUGGUGGUGUCCCAGAAAUUCUUAUUCAACAAUUUAAAAAUCCACAUGAUAAUUCUUUUGAAGUUAUAACAACAAGAAAAGCAGAUGUUUUAGAAGAUUUACAAAAAUACAGUGAUGACACGUGGUUCCCUAAUUACAGCUGGUGGAUAACCAAGUGUCCGCACUGUGGUCAACACAUGGGAUGGACAUACAGAAUAAAUAGCCAGGGAACGUCAACAGACGGCAGACCAGAACAGUUUUAUGGCCUUGUUUUAGACAAUUUACUGCCUCAACAAGAGGCUGAAACAUUAAUCCACUUUCCAAAGGCCUAUGGAUUUUGAUCAGAUUACUGGACCAAAGUUCUGAGACUAUGCAAUACAGACAAUUCUCGAAAUAAUUAAAAGUAAUAAUACUAUGGUAUUUAAGUAUGGAUGCUGUAAAUGAACCUUUUUUUAUCAUUUUCAAACAGAUGCAUUGCAUCAUAUAUCUCUGCCAAUUUUCAGUUUUUGAAUUUUUAUUUUGUGAAUGACUAAACUCAAAAGUGUAUAUCUUCCAAAUCAGAUUACAAAUUUGGAGAUAUUGAUGCAGCAAUAUUAUUAAAUUCUAUUUUACUGAAAUCAUCUGACAAGAAAAAUAUUAGGGUAAUAAAGGGGUUUUGCAAUUUAAAUUUGGGAAAUGUAUGAAGGAAUUUUCAUAAGAACAUGAGGAAAAAGUACCUUGGAAUACAAUUGUAUGUUGGCGGAACGCAAGGUUGUAAAUGGAGGUUGAACUGUACAUUCAUAUCCAAAUGUAUUUGUUGAUGAUGUUUUUGUUGCUUGCAUGUUCAAGGUAACUUUACUUGAUUUGAAAAAUGAAACAGAUUUGGAAGGUUUAACUGUGUGUUCAUAUCCAAAUGUAUUUGUUGAUGAUAUGUUUUUUUUUAUGUUCCUGGUAACUUUACUUGAUUUUAAUCAGCAAAGUGAAACAAAAUCUGGGGGAAAAAUUGCAGAGAAAUACAAGCAACCAUGCCCAUAAACAUUUCUUACCUUGGAAAAAGGGAGGUUUUUGGUGAUCAGAGGUCAGCAUUGCUCCGACAUGACAUAGUGACAGAUAUAGACUAUUGAUGAUACAAGCACCUGGAUCACAAUGUAGGUAGAUAAAGAUAAACUUUAUUUAUUUUACAACGAUUAUGAAACAAGUUGUUACAACUUAUGCUAAUCACUGUCGUUGGCCCAGAUUUUAGGGGGCCAAGUGGUUAAGGCAGCUGCCAUUCUGCUACCACUAGCCCUCCACCACUGGGUCGCGGGUUCGAGGCCUACAUGGAGCAGUCGCCAGGUUACUGGCCGUAGGUAGGUGUUUUUUCUCUGGGAACUCUGGCUUUCCUCCACCACCAAAACCUGUCACGUCCUUAAAUGACCAUAGCUGUUAAUAGGACGUAAAACACAAACAAACCAAACUGAAUUUUAGCGUGCACAAGGUCUUCUUGUAGGAGGAAACUGUAGUACCCGGAGAAAACCCACGUGGUCAGGCAGGUGACCCCAUAUCUUUUCACGUCCUAUCAGGAAAUCGAACCACAACUUCAUUGGUGAAAGGCAAGUGUGCCCACCCAAUGUAUGUAGAUCUACACAUUAAUAGACACAGUACAUUUACAAUAAUUAGUUCGUAUUCUAAACCUUCUGGUCAACAUAAGAGUAGCCAUUCUCAAAUUUCAAGAAGUUAAUUAUUAUCACUAACAUUAUGUGCACCCCAUGAACAUGGAAGAGCCAAUCAAUUUUACCGUUACACUGUUGCAUGAUUCAUUUAAUGUACAGUAAGGGAUCAAAUUAGCCUACUUGUAUCAUCCUCAAGGUAGCAUGUACAGACCUAAUAUGGGUUAGUUCCCCUCUCCAAUUUUGGCAUUUUUUCCCCCUAUUUCAGCUUUAUUUCCCCCAAUUUGAGUUUAAAUACUACCACAUAAAUAUCUGUCUUGGUUCCAUUUUUCCACAACUGAGUGAUUUAUUUCAUUUUCCCUAUGUUGAUAUUAAUUGUAGCUGCUGAUAUUUUAUAAACUAGAAUGAACAGCGGGAAAGAAAAAUUAAAGAUGUAAUCCAUGCAUCCCUCUCGUGCUCUCCCCCUGGCUCAAGCCUGCCCCCGUCUGGUACCCUCCCCGUGGCUCUGGCCUGCAGUCCUCGCUGGACGGGUCAUGCACCAACAGCACAUAUUUUCCCCCAUUUCAAAAAAAGUGUUCUAACUUUCUAUUGCAUUAAUCCCUGCUUUGGUUUGGUCAUGACAUACACCAGGGGUGUUAAGAAGAAUUUUGAGAAUGCAGAGUAAAAUGGAUUUUAUAUUGAGUUUAUUAAUUUUAUAAGUAACAUUGAAGGAUGACAAAUCAUAAGUGGCCUGUCCAGAUCUAAAUAACCAAAUAUCAUCAAUAGACAGUUUAUCAAUUUGGUCAUGUCCAGCAUAUCAGAUUGAUGAUAGUUGUAGCCUGGAAAUUAUUUUUUUCAAAGACUUCAUGGUAUUUUUUUGCUUGGCGAUUUUGUGCGGUGUUGGGUUUCUUUGCCCGAACUCAUUUUCCCAAUCCUGGUUUUUUUCAUCUUAAAAUAAACAUUUCAAGCCUGUCAAGUCAUAUAUUUAGUUAAAUAUAAAGUCCUCAUUCAUCUCUUUAGCUUACCAUCAUAAAAUGGUAGGCUGAUCAAAUGGCCCUUCGUCCUUGGUCUGUCCUCUGUCCUUACCAAUUCUUGUCCUCACUAUUACUCAUAAGGUACUGACCAGAUCUCUCCCCUUGGUCUAUAUUAGUCCAUGUCAUUUUAGCACUGAUAGGGAAAAAAAGAUGGCCACCAAGCUGCCAUCUUAGGUUUUCACAAUGUAAGUUUGUUAUUGCUAUUUCUCAAGUACAAUCGUAGUAGUAUACAAUGAUCACACUUUGAAAUGACACUCUCAAAUCUAGCUGUGUGAAAUUUUAAUCAAAAGCUACCACUAAAUGUAUUUACUGUUGACAGGACUAUCAAUCCAACAACAUAAGAGAAAAAGAAACGAGUUGAAGAGAAAUAUCAGUCUUACACAUAGGACGAACAAAGGUCCUACGUUUGUAGGCGCCAAGAUUCCUCUAGGAUAUCUUGUUUGUUAUUAAACAAUUUCAACCGUACAGUUUUUAGGGCGAAACAAUCCAGAUUCUUUUGUGCCAUAGAUCAUAUUAUAUAGGUCAUUUUUAUAAAGACUUUGCGUAUCAUUUAUUAAGGUGGACAAACACAAUAUGAAAAAUAGACCAUCACUUACACUGUCAAACCUUGCGUCCAUCUUAACUCUUUCACCCCUAAGUAACUUUAGUAGAGUAGACUCUCCCAUGUAUUGAUAUCAUAUGGAUGAGUCUAUUAUGGUCUACAGUGGUAAAAGGGUUAAGACAGUUCCUUUUAAAGUCUUGUCUUCAACAUUAUGGCAUAAUGCAAUUACUAAUAUUAUAGAAAUUUAUUAAGUGAUUUUCACCUAGAACUUUGGUAAUAUUAUCUUCCCUCAUGUUAUUGAUGGCAAUCAUUAAUAUAAUGGAAAUGUAUUUAGUGUUUGAUAAUGUUAUUACCCUCAUAAAGUUAUGGAUUUCAGUCAACAGGAAUUUAUUCAGUGUUGUUUCACCUAGAACUUUGAUAAUGUUAUUAUCUCCCCUUAUGUCAAUGAUUAUAUUUAUGUUAUUAAAAGACUUUUUACAGUCAUCGCCAGAAGAUGGCUUCAGUGUUUUAAAACAUAAGUGAUGGUGAACUCAAUGUGCCUUGUUUUGACACUCUACGUUCGUUGGACAUGUAUGUAAAUCUAUAGAAUUUAUUUUUAUUUUCUGUAAACCUAAAUAUAUACCAAUGUAUUAUGUAAACAUAUAUUUAUUUGGGGUAAGUUGACAUUUGAAAAAAAAUUAAAAAAAUUUGAAUCAACAUUUUCACUGUAUAAAAAUCUGCAGUUCAAAGCAUAAUAAUAAUUAAGUUUUAUUAAUUUAAUGUUUUUCAUAUGUACAUCUUUAUGUAAACCUAUUUAUAUAUUAUGUUAAUCUAUGAAAAUAUAUAUAUUUUUUCAAUAAUUGCUAUACAAUGAAGUUACCUUUGCUAAUAAAGAAAUGAAAACAAGUUACCUCCCUUUAGACCAUAUUGCACCUUGCAUGAACUUCAAUUUUACUUUACAUAUAUCAACAUUACACAGUGCGGAGACACAGGGACCUGAUGAUUUGUUACUGCUUUAUUUGGACCUAAACUUAGUUUAGGCACAAAUAAAGCUGUAACAAAUUCUCAGGUCCCUGCGUGUGGAGACUCAUGCGAUCUCUAAUGCAACAGUUCACGAAAAAUCGUGAGAAUUUUUUGAGGCAAAAUGUGAAAUCCCUUUCUCUUACAUAAUGAUACACAUAGCCCUAUUUCAUCGCUAGUAGGGGUUCAUGGGGAUUAUGUUUGAAACCGACUUGCGUUCAUAUCGGCAUAAACAUUGCAAAAAUGCGGUUCAUUCCUAAUGUGUUACAAUGAUCUUAUAAUAUGUUGAGCCACCGAAUUGCUAUCCAAGUCGUGGAUAAGUCAACUAUCACUUACUAUUCUGAUUAUGAUUCAUUCCAAAUUUUAUUAUAUUAUGUGACCACACGUUAAUAUUCCACAGACAUAAAUAUAUACGAGACAUGUUAGUUACUAUAUGACUAUAUGAAAUAUAUUAUGAGAUUUUUUUUACUGUCCAUCGUUGGAAGGGAAAUGUUAUUUUGUGAACGUUAAUAAAGAUUUUUAAGUCU